UACGUAAGGUGCAAGCGUUGUCCGGAAUUAUUGGGCGUAAAGAGCUCGUAGGCGGUUUGUCGCGUCUGCUGUGAAAACCCGAGGCUCAACCUCGGGCCUGCAGUGGGUACGGGCAGACUAGAGUGCGGUAGGGGAGAUUGGAAUUCCUGGUGUAGCGGUGGAAUGCGCAGAUAUCAGGAGGAACACCGAUGGCGAAGGCAGAUCUCUGGGCCGUAACUGACGCUGAGGAGCGAAAGCGUGGGGAGCGAACAGG
rnacentral:rRNA from 1 species